GUGCCAGCCGCCGCGGUAAUACGUAGGUCCCGAGCGUUGUCCGGAUUUAUUGGGCGUAAAGCGAGCGCAGGCGGUUAGAUAAGUCUGAAGUUAAAGGCUGUGGCUUAACCAUAGUACGCUUUGGAAACUGUUUAACUUGAGUGCAAGAGGGGAGAGUGGAAUUCCAUGUGUAGCGGUGAAAUGCGUAGAUAUAUGGAGGAACACCGGUGGCGAAAGCGGCUCUCUGGCCUUGUAACUGACGCUGAGGCUCGAAAGCGUGGGGAGCAAACAGGAUUAGAU
rnacentral:rRNA from 1 species